rnacentral:lncRNA from 1 species
GUGCAGCUGGCGCCGGGGAGAGGGGCCCCUGGGCAAGGGCACGUGGCCCCGAGCCGCCGGCCUCGGCUGCCCCGCUCCCCGCGGACCGAACUGGGGCGUUUCGGGCCGUGUCUGCUCUUCCUCCGCCCCCCCCCCCCCCCACCUUCUGGUAUUGGCCCCUUUUUGCCCUGUGCCCUGAGGGUGCCCUUCCAGCGUCUCUGGAAACAACUUGGGCUUAGAGGGAUGACCGUCCUUAAGAGAUGUCCGGAGGCACCGCGUUUCCCCCAGCGGCUGUGCCGGCCUUCGGGUGGCCGGGACCCCACAGUCUUCCGUGAGGCUGCGCGCACCAGGAGCCUGGUGGAUGGAGGUCGGUGGAGCAGAGCUGAGAGCGCCCGAGUGUGUGCGGGACCACCUGGGAGUGCCUGCGAGCUUGGUGACCGUGCGCUGAAGUGCUGGCAGCCUUUGAUAAGAUGAAAACACUAGCAGAAAGGAGGAGGAGUGCCCCAUCUCUUAUCUUGGAUAAAGCCCUGCAAAAAAGGCCCAGUACCAAGUAAGUGAAUAGCUUUGUAUUACACAGUUGGAAUACGCUGUUUAUCUGUGUGUGUGAGGGGUUUUUUUGUUUUUAUAUCAGCACCAAAAUUUUCUGUUUAAUAAUAGAAAAUCUGACUUCUGUUCUGAUGUUACUUAAUAAGGUCUGUAUUUUAUGUGAAUCAUAAAGCCUGAUCUGUGUGGUCACUUGCUUUAAAACUGAUUCAAAAAUCUCAUAUCACUUAGUACACAAAUGUACAUGCUCCACAUAUUGCUAAACUUUAUUUAUAAAAACAAUCAGAAUACUAAAAGAUGAGCUAUUUUAAUCACCAUAUGUCUUGGUUAUGCACAAACUUUAGCUUGUUUUUUAUCAUAAAGUGAUACCUAUGUUGGCAUGAGGCAAAUUUUUACCAAUUUUAGGUAUGAAGAUAAACAAAUUGAGAUUAUAAAAAUGGAAUGCUGAUUUCUUAAAUGCAUUAUUAUUUUUUUAAUAAAUUUAUUUUUUAUUGGUGUUCA